CAAAGUUAAUUAUAAUACUUCUUAGUUAAAAGUUUUAAUGGACUUAUUGAACAAAUAUGAAAAGCAUUGAACAAAUGUUAACAUUGCACAGUUAUCAAGGAUGCAGUGAUGUCAGAGACAGGUGCUAUAUUGUGCGUGGGUUCUGUUUUUAUCACUAUUUCAACUUUAUUCUAUUUGGAGGCUCCUCCAACUCUCAGUGAGACUAUUAAAGAACAAAAGGAAAAUCCAUCUAUUCAAACAACUGCUUUCUAUACAGCUUUUCUGUUUCAUGAUUUCUUCUGGAGACAUGGUCACUUGACCUGAAACUGAAGAGUAUGCUUGGGGCACAGAGAUAGCAGAGUGAGUGCUCCUAUCACCCCACUCUGAAGAUCCAAGUCCUUUGAUUGUUCUUCUUUGCACUGUAUGUUUUCAUACAGACUGUGGAGGGGUAGAGAGUGUACCCUUAAAUAGAAGCCAAUGAAUGGCUCUGUGUCAGACAUGAGUAACUUUUUCCUUUGCAUCAGGAGUCCUUCAGAUCAUCAGCUUUGAGAACCUAGCAUAAGUCAUUGUUUCAGAACGUAUAGGUUUGCAGAAUGGAGAUUUCCUCCCUUCUCAGGUCCUUGGUUGGCUUCAGCAUGUUCUCCGUUUUUAUUUCUGAUCAUGACUCUAUGGCUCAAAUAGUGUGAAAAGACACAAAGGU
rnacentral:lncRNA from 1 species